GGCAAGGCUGCGUGGUUUGGAUUCUGCUCUGAUUCUGUUGAUGGCGUCAUAGCCACAAAGUGUAACUCAUAAUCCUUCAGGAGGGAUGAUAGCAGUGGACACUUCCCUUUUAAGGUGUCCUGGAAAUGAGGAGUUCAAAGCAGCCAUCUGGGUCUAAGGCACUGUUCAAGGACAGUGUCUUUCAAGGUUGUUUGAAUACCAGCAAGAUAAUUCAGCUGGCUUGCUCCUCACUGCCCUGCAUGCAUAUAGAUACUGGAGCCAAAUACAGGAAUCAGCACUGAACAUGGCAAGCUAAGGACCAUCCUGAGGAAGGUCAACUUUAGCUGCAACUGGGACACGUGGAGAGCUGGACAAGACCAACUGGUCCUUGAGAUGCAGAAACGAAUCAAACUGACAAGCUGAGAACCACUGGGCCUGGAGUUGGAGGCAAUGGAUGGACAUCUGUUGUUUUUGACAUUCAAUGCCAUUUUUUCCCUAAUGGGAUCUGCUUCUCUUCUGCUUGAACCCUGCUGUGGGAAUGGACCUGUCAAUCAUGAAUUCCUAUCCAAUCCUCAGGCCAUUGAGGCAUAUUUUUGAGAAGUUACCCCUGGGAGAAGGAAGGGGAAGUUGGCAUCAAGAACAAGUGGAAAAUGCUUGGCAAACACAUCAUCCCGUGUCCAUUCAUCUUCACCAGUGUACAGCUGCUCACCCUUUUCCCCAAGUCCAGCUCAAGGGAGGCCGGUGCUGGUGCAGCUCUCUCUGUGUUUACCCAGUGCCCGUGUAAAGAGAAAGCUCCCGGCAGAUUUUGUUCUUGUUGCUAAUAUUUGGAUCUCAUGCUAUUCUUUGCCUAUAAAGACUCCGAAGGCUGAGUCAGAGGGAUCUUCGCAACACAUUCAGAUAGGCAUUCCCAGCCUUUGGUCAUGGCUUUUAGAAACUUCAUAUGAGCAUAAUAAAAAUGGAUGAACUGGU